UACAGAGGGGGCAAGCGUUAUUCGGAAUUAUUAGGCGUAAAGGGCGCGUAGGCGGCCUGGCAAGUGGAUGGUGAAAUCCCUCGGCUUAACCGAGGAACUGCCAUCCAGACUGCUUGGCUUGAGACCGGGAGAGGUGAGUGGAAUUCCCAGUGUAGCGGUGAAAUGCGUAGAUAUUGGGAGGAACACCAGUGGCGAAGGCGGCUCACUGGACCGGUACUGACGCUGAUGCGCGAAAGCGUGGGGAGCAAACGGG
rnacentral:rRNA from 1 species